rnacentral:rRNA from 1 species
GACGAACGCUGGCGGCGUGCUUAACACAUGCAAGUCGAACGGAAAGGCCCUGCUUUUGUGGGGUGCUCGAGUGGCGAACGGGUGAGUAACACGUGAGUAACCUGCCCUUGACUUUGGGAUAACUUCAGGAAACUGGGGCUAAUACCGGCUAGGAGCUCCUGCUGCAUGGUGGGGGUUGGAAAGUUUCGGCGGUUGGGGAUGGACUCGCGGCUUAUCAGCUUGUUGGUGGGGUAGUGGCUUACCCAGGCUUUGACGGGUAGCCGGCCUGAGAGGGUGACCGGCCACAUUGGGACUGAGGUACGGCCCAGACGCCUACGGGAGGCAGCAGUGGGGAAUAUUGCACAAUGGGCGGAAGCCUGAUGCAGCAACGCCGCGUGCGGGAUGACGGCCUUCGGGUUGUAAACCGCUUUCGCCUGUGACGAAGCGUGAGUGACGGUAAUGGGUAAAGAAGCACCGGCUAACUACGUG